rnacentral:rRNA from 1 species
CGGAGGAUCCAAGCGUUAUCCGGAAUCAUUGGGUUUAAAGGGUCCGUAGGCGGUUUAGUAAGUCAGUGGUGAAAGCCCAUCGCUCAACGGUGGAACGGCCAUUGAUACUGCUAGACUUGAAUUAUUAGGAAGUAACUAGAAUAUGUAGUGUAGCGGUGAAAUGCUUAGAGAUUACAUGGAAUACCAAUUGCGAAGGCAGGUUACUACUAAUUGAUUGACGCUGAUGGACGAAAGCGUGGGUAGCGAACAGGAUUAGAUACCCUGGUAGUCCACGCCGUAAACGAUGGAUACUAGCUGUUGGGAGCGAUCUCAGUGGCUAAGCGAAAGUGAUAAGUAUCCCACCUGGGGAGUACGUUCGCAAGAAUG